CAAGAUCAUGAUCAUGCUCUUCCACGGCUUUCUUGAACUGUGAGCUAUCUUUGCUUCCACUGCUUUCUCGUUACUCCUCAAAAGAGAGAAAGAGAGAGAGAUAUAUAUAUAUAUAUCUACAAAUACGGAGGAGGUGAAUCAGCGCAAAGUUCAAGAAAUGCGUGGGAAAACAUGGCAGAUCUUU
rnacentral:miRNA from 15 species